rnacentral:rRNA from 1 species
CUCCUGGAAACGGGUGGUAAUGCCGGAUGUUCCACAUGAGCGCAUGCGAGUGUGGGAAAGGCUUUUUGCGGCAUGGGAUGGGGUCGCGUCCUAUCAGCUUGUUGGUGGGGUAACGGCCUACCAAGGCGUUGACGGGUAGCCGGCCUGAGAGGGCGACCGGCCACAUUGGGACUGAGAUACGGCCCAGACUCCUACGGGAGGCAGCAGUGGGGAAUAUUGCACAAUGGGCGCAAGCCUGAUGCAGCGACGCCGCGUGCGGGAUGGAGGCCUUCGGGUUGUAAACCGCUUUUGUUCAAGGGCAAGGCACGGUUUUGGCCGUGUUGAGUGGAUUGUUCGAAUAAGCACCGGCUAACUACGUGCCAGCAGCCGCGGUAAUACGUAGGGUGCAAGCGUUAUCCGGAUUUAUUGGGCGUAAAGGGCUCGUAGGCGGUUCGUCGCGUCCGGUGUGAAAGUCCAUCGCUUAACGGUGGAUCCGCGCCGGGUACGGGCGGGCUUGAGUGCGGUAGGGGAGACUGGAAUUCCCGGUGUAACGGUGGAAUGUGUAGAUAUCGGGAAGAACACC